rnacentral:piRNA from 1 species
AGCACUUAGAACUUGCAAGCCUGAUGUCCUA